rnacentral:rRNA from 1 species
AUACGGAGGAUCCGAGCGUUAUCCGGAUUUAUUGGGUUUAAAGGGAGCGUAGGUGGGAUAUUAAGUCAGCUGUGAAAGUUUGGGGCUCAACCUUAAAAUUGCAGUUGAUACUGGUUUCCUUGAGUACGGUACAGGUGGGCGGAAUUCAUGGUGUAGCGGUGAAAUGCUUAGAUAUCACGAAGAACUCCGAUCGCGAAGGCAGCUCACCGGGCCGGAACUGACACUGAUGCUCGAAAGUGCGGGUAUCAAACAGGAUUAGAUACCCUGGUAGUCCGCACAGUAAACGAUGAAUACUCGCUGUUUGCGAUACACGGUAAGCGGCCAAGCGAAAGCGUUAAGUAUUCCACCUGGGGAGUACGCCGGCAACGGUGAAACUCAAAUGAAUUGACGGGG